GACGAACGCUGGCGGCGUGCCUAAUACAUGCAAGUCGAGCGAUGAAGCUUGGUGCUUGCACCAAUUUGAAGAGCAGCGAACGGGUGAGUAACGCGUGGGGAAUCUGCCUUUGAGCGGGGGACAACAUUGGGAAACGAAUGCUAAUACCGCAUAAUAACUUUAAACAUAAGGUUUAAGUGUGAAAGAUGCAAUUGCAUCACUCAAAGAUGAUCCCGGGUUGUAUUAGCUAGUUGGUGAGGGAAAGGCCCUACAAGGCGAAGAUACAUAGCCGACCUGGGAGGGUGAACGGCCACAAUGGGACGUAGACACGGGCCAAAAACCCACAGGAGGCCACCAUAGGGAAACUUCCGGCAUUGACGGAAGUCCGACCGAGGAACGCCGGGUGGGUGAAGGAGGGUAUCGGAUCGGAAAAACCUGUUUGUAGGGAAGAAAGUUGGUAAGAGUUAAAAGCUCAUCAAGUGACGGUAACUACCCAGAAAGACACGGCUAACUACGUG
rnacentral:rRNA from 1 species